AUUGAACGCUGGCGGCAUGCCUUACACAUGCAAGUCGAACGGUAACAGGUCUUCGGAUGCUGACGAGUGGCGAACGGGUGAGUAAUACAUCGGAACGUGCCUAGUAGUGGGGGAUAACUACUCGAAAGAGUGGCUAAUACCGCAUGCGAUCCACGGAAGAAAGCAGGGGAUCGCAAGACCUGUUGCUACUAGAGCGGCCGAUGGCAGAUUAGGUAGUUGGUGGGAUAAAAGCUUACCAAGCCGACGAUCUGUAGCUGGUCUGAGAGGACGAUCAGCCACACUGGGACUGAGACACGGCCCAGACUCCUACGGGAGGCAGCAGUGGGGAAUUUUGGACAAUGGGCGAAAGCCUGAUCCAGCAAUGCCGCGUGCAGGAUGAAGGCCUUCGGGUUGUAAACUGCUUUUGUACGGAACGAAAAGCCCCGGGUUAAUACCCUGGGGUCAUGACGGUACCGUAAGAAUAAGCACCGGCUAACUACGUGCCAGCAGCCGCGGUAA
rnacentral:rRNA from 1 species